AAAUGAUGUCUUCAUCUUCUGCGGGAAGAAGACAAGGCAGUCGGUCAGUGAGGAGAGGCUAAAAUCAAGAUGUUUUUGUGAAGAUCUUUUUGGAAAAUGGACUUCAUUGAGUGAUAAAAAAAAUCUUUUACGAAGGUUUAUUGGAUGCGACAAUUUCAUGGACCCUAAAAUGGAUUGCAAAUACUUCGCUUAGGUAGACCCUCCAUUACCAAAAACCAAUGGUACAAAGACAUGUUAUUCGGUUUUUUCCACCAUAGAAAUGGAUUCAGCCAUGAUGGAUUUGAAGAUUUAAUGGAAGAAUGUGUAGAAGAACAUGUAACAGAACCUGUGGCAGAACAAGGUGUUCUUAUGCAAGGUGCUCCUAUGGAAGGUCAAGAUGGCUUAGUUGGUGGUAAUUUUAGGAUUGUGUUUUGGGUUUCAUUGUUUGCACUUGUAUGGUAUAUAAUGUUGUAAUGGUAUGUUUACUAGCAACAAGUAUAGAUAUGUAAUGGUAGUUUGAAUGGUAUCUUUUGUACUAACAAUUGACCAAUGUAAUCUUAGUGAUUUGGUUUCUAUUGGAAUGGAAGUUAUGUUUUGCAA